CAGUUUACUGUUCGUUGUUUGACCUUCCAUACCCUUGGACCAGUUCAGGCACUGUGGGGAAAAAAAAAAUCCAUUAAACCAGGAGUCACCUUGCCCCAGAUCCCAGCCAGGUUGGAAGGUGCACACACAUAUUUCCAAAGUGAAUAAUCAAGAAAGCAACUCCUUAAAGCGACGCUGGAAUGUCGGGAGAAAAGAG